GCUUCUUGCUAACCCAGUGGUUUGGGACUUUAUCAAGAAACCAUUUUGGUCUUUAUAGGGGUGCAGUCUGUCCCCCUAUUGUAGUUACCGUGAGGCAUGUGUAAGCAGCCUACUGAAGUGGACUAAAGCAAAACAGAGCCCCGAUACAGUCCAGGGAAGAAAACUUUAGCCCAAGAUGUGGAUUCCAGCAAAUGUAAAACAAAGCACUUGCACAUUUUUGUUUUUGUUCAG